rnacentral:rRNA from 1 species
CGGCGUGCCUAACACAUGCAAGUCGAGCGAGGAGAUUCCUUCGGGAUGAUCCUAGCGGCGGACGGGUGAGUAACACGUGGGCAACCUGCCUCAUAGAGAGGAAUAGCCUUCCGAAAGGGAGAUUAAUACCUCAUAACAUUGCAGUUUCGCAUGAAACAGCAAUUAAAGGAGCAAUCCGCUAUGAGAUGGGCCCCGCGGCGCAUUAGCUAGUUGGUGAGGUAACGGCUCACCAAGGCGACGAUGCGUAGCCGACCUGAGAGGGUGAUCGGCCACAUUGGGACUGAGACACGGCCCAGACUCCUACGGGAGGCAGCAGUGGGGAAUAUUGCACAAUGGGGGAAACCCUGAUGCAAGCAACGCCGCGUGAGUGAUGACGGCCUUCGGGUUGUAAAGCUCUGUCUUCAGGGACGAUAAUGACGGUACCUGAGGAGGAAGCCACGGCUAACUACGUGCCAGCAGCCGC